GUAGGUGAACCUGCGGAAGGAUCAUUAAUAGUGCUCAUUGACGCAAGUCAGUGAGUUAGAUCUGCUCUCCUCGCAAGAGGAGGGUUUCCAUACACACCGUGAACUGUGGCUUCGGCCAUUACAAACUGUUAGUAAUGAAUGUAAUAUCAUAACAAAAACAAAACUUUUAACAACGGAUCUCUUGGCUCUCGCAUCGAUGAAGAACGCAGCAUCUGACUGACUCUCGGAUGG
rnacentral:misc_RNA from 1 species